rnacentral:lncRNA from 1 species
AUAUAUAUAUAUAUAUAUAUAUAUAUAUAUACAUAUGUACAUACGUUUUUACAUGUGUAUAUUUUAUAAUUUUAAUGGGUAUAUACUAACAUGAGUUGUGUUUGCAAUUAGUUCUAACAUAUCUUGAUAGAGUAAGGAAUUUUUUUUUUUUUUUUUAUAAUAUAAUUAUUUAUUUUUAUUUAUAUAUAUAUAUAUAUAUAUGUAAUACCAUCACCUAUAAAAUAUAUAUGAAAAAAAAAAUAUAUGUGACUUAAUGCUUUACUCAUGUGUUUCAUUUUAUUUGUGAUCGACCAACAAAUUUGAAACAUAUACAUGUAUAUUAAAGCAAAACAUAAUUUUGUGGUACUUCUGUAAGAUACAUAUAUUAAUAGAAUAUCCAUAUAUAUAUAUAUAUAUAUAUAUAUUGUCAAGGUUUAGUGACAAAAUGAGUCAAAAAAACAAUAUGUUUCAAAUUUUAAACCAGGAAGAUAAUAUAAAAAGGAAAGCAAAAAAAAUUAAAGAGUCUCAAAAAAAAAAAAGAAAAUGAAAAAAAAGAGAUGAUAGAUCAGUUUUCAAUUGAUAUCAGUAAAUACAUUACGAAUCCUUAUGACGAUGAUGAAUAUGAUGAGUUUUUUUAUAAUGUCGAUAAAUUACAAGAUUCAGAUGAGAACAAAGAUAAUAGUAAGAAUAGUAAAGUAGAAAAACAAGUAAAACAGAAAACAACAAAAAAUAAAAAUUUAAAUAUAAAUGCUAACAAUGAUGGAAACACAAAAAAAGAGAAAGAAAAUAAUGAUAAUAAAACUGUUAAAGUAAAUAACGAGAAAAGCAAUAAAAAAAAUAAAGAAAUAGAACUGAAAAUAAAUAGUAGUGUAAAUGAAAAAAAUAAUAGUAACAAUAAAAAUUUGAAUGAACAAAUACAAUCUCAAAAAAAAAAAAAAAAAAAAGUAAAAAAAAAUGACUUUGAUAAAAUACUGUUAGAAUAUACAAAAAAUGAUGGUUCCAAGGUCGAACAAAAUACGAAUACUGUUAUAAAUAAUGUAGUUAAUAAUAAUAAAGAUAAUACUACAAUGUUAAAAAAUUUGAACAAAAAUAAAAAAAAUAAUCUUGUCAUUCAAAACAUCCACGAAAAUAACUGUGGUGAUGAAAAUGAUGAUAGUUUAAAAAAAAAAAAAAAAAAAAAAAAAAAAAUAAUAAUAAUAAUAAUAAUAAUGAUAAAACUGAAAAUAACGCGAAUAAAGAAAAAAACGUUGAAGAAGGUGUUAACAGCCAUAUUAAUAAUACACCAAAGAAAGGAGAUCCUAAUCAUUAGGACACAGCUAAAGAAACGUUAGCGUCGAAUAAAAACGGAUAAGGAAAAUGCAGUUCUCAAAAAUGAUGACAAUGCAAUAAACACAAAUGAAAAACUAAAAGAAAUCA